rnacentral:rRNA from 1 species
GGGGGAUAUUGCGCAAUGGGGGAAACCCUGACGCAGCAACGCCGCGUGAAGGAUGAAGGUUUUCGGAUUGUAAACUUCUUUUAUUUAGGACGAAUUAUGACGGUACUAAAUGAAUAAGCUCCGGCUAACUACGUGCCAGCAGCCGCGGUAAUACGUAGGGAGCAAGCGUUAUCCGGAUUUACUGGGUGUAAAGGGUGCGUAGGCGGCUUGGUAAGUCAGAUGUGAAAUGUAUGGGCUCAACCCAUGCACUGCAUUUGAAACUAUUGAGCUUGAGUGAAGUAGAGGUAGGCGGAAUUCCCUGUGUAGCGGUGAAAUGCGUAGAGAUAGGGAGGAACACCAGUGGCGAAGGCGGCCUACUGGGCUUUAACUGACGCUGAGGCACGAAAGCGUGGGUAGCAAACAGGAUUAGAUACCCUGGUAGUCCACGCUGUAAACGAUGAUUACUAGGUGUGGGGGGUCUGACCCCUUCCGUGCCGGAGUUAACACAAUAAGUAAUCCACCUGGGGAGUACGACCGCAAGGUUGAAACUCAAAGGAAUUGACGGGGGCCCGCACAAGCAGUGGAGUAUGUGGUUUAAUUCGAAGCAACGCGAAGAACCUUACCAGGUCUUGACAUCCCGAUGACCGCCUUAGAGAUAAGGCUUUUCUUCGGAACAUCGGUGACAGGUGGUGCAUGGUUGUCGUCAGCUCGUGUCGUGAGAUGUUGGGUUAAGUCCCGCAACGAGCGCAACCCCUAUCUUUAGUAGCCAGCAUUUCAGGUGGGCACUCUAGAGAGACUGCCAGGGAUAACCUGGAGGAAGGUGGGGACGACGUCAAAUCAUCAUGCCCCUUAUGACCAGGGCUACACACGUGCUACAAUGGCGUAAACAGAGGGAAGCAGCCUCGUGAGAGUGAGCAAAUCCCAAAAAUAACGUCUCAGUUCGGAUUGUAGUCUGCAACUCGACUACAUGAAGCUGGAAUCGCUAGUAAUCGCGAAUCAGAAUGUCGCGGUGAAUACGUUCCCG